rnacentral:rRNA from 1 species
CAGCACCUCAAGUGGUCAGGAUGAUUAUUGGGCCUAAAGCAUCCGUAGCCGGCGCUGUAAGUUUUCGGUUAAAUCUGUACGCUCAACGUAUGGGCUGCCGGGAAUACUGCACAGCUAGGGAGUGGGAGAGGUAGACGGUACUCGGUAGGAAGGGGUAAAAUCCUUUGAUCUAUUGAUGACCACCUGUGGCGAAGGCGGUCUACCAGAACACGUCCGACGGUGAGGGAUGAAAGCUGGGGGAGCAAACCGGAUUAGAUACCCGAGUAGUCC